rnacentral:lncRNA from 1 species
AGAGUUAAAGCGACCUAAGAAAUGAUCAAAUCUAAUCCAUUCAUUUUCCAGAUGUGGAUAUUGAACCCUGGGAAGUGAGUUCUUCCUGAGUGGUCUGCAUGGAGUCCAAAAUUGCGUUUUUACUUGUUUUCUCCUCCAGCAUACGGAAAAUGAAAUGAUCACUGAGGCAAGGCUAAAGGAAUGGCAGAGAUUGGAAUUGAAGAAGAUUAAACCAGGGAGCUGAUAAAACUGACCAAAGAGGAAGAAAAUAUGGCUCUGGAAAAUUAAGUGAUUUGCCUACAUCCACAUAGCUAGUAAGUAUCUAAGGUAACCUUUGAAUCCAAGACCAUUGACUUAAAGU